GCUGACGAGUCCCAAACAGGACGAAACAGCUGUGC
rfam:Echinostoma caproni strain Egypt genome assembly, scaffold: ECPE_scaffold0003925